UAGCCGGAUAGAAAGCAGAUCGCAUGAUCAGCUUUAAAGGCGGCGUAAGCUGUCGCUAUGGGGAUGGGCCCCGCGGUGCAUUAGCUAGUUGGCAAGGUAAAGGCUUACCAAGGGCGAUGAUGCAUAGCCCGAGUUGAGAGACUGAUCGGCCACAUUGGGGACUGAGACACGGCCCAAACUCCUACGGGGAGGCAGCAGUAGGGAAUCUUCCACAAUGGACGCAAGUCUGAUGGAGCAAAUGCCGCGUGAGUGAAGAAGGUUUUCGGAUCGUAAAAAGCUCUGUUGUUGGUGAAGAAGGAUAGAGGUAGUAACUGGCCCUUUAUUUGACGGUAAUCAACCCAGAAAGUCACGGGCUAACUACGUGCCCAGCAGCCGCGGUAAAU
rnacentral:rRNA from 1 species